CAGUGAGACUUCCUGGCCUCAGAGGGGCUUCGUGUCCUCCGUCCAGGCGGGAGUUUGAAGUCCGGGUGGCUGUCAAGGACCGUGUGCCCACGUCCCCUCUGAAUCCCAGGAUCGUCACCCAGAGUGUCUUCAGUCAGAGCUGAGCCUCCGCCGACUUUGCAGCAGUCCUCACUCACCCUUGGCGUCCCUGCCACCCUGGGAAGAUCCUGUGCCGCUCGAGUCCUGCAGGUUCUGCAGGAAGCUCAGGCUGAAGUCGGCUGUGGUCAGCCGUCUCCUGGGGCUCCUGACUUUGCUGCUUGGUGCCUUGAGAUGGCUUGGUUUUCAAGGAUCAUCUGUGAUGUAUUUUAUUUUUCUUUAAAUCCGACCACUCAUUUUCCUCAGGAGGGUUGUUCAGUGCA
rnacentral:lncRNA from 1 species